GACGAACGCUGGCGGCGUGCUUAACACAUGCAAGUCGAACGGAAAGGCCUGCUUUCCCUUGUGGAUUGCGGGUACUCGAGUGGCGAACGGGUGAGUAACACGUGAGUGAUCUGCCCCCAACUUGGGUAUAAGCCUGGGAAACUGGGUCUAAUUCCCGAUAGGACUGCAGGGUGGUGCCUGUGGUGGAAAACGAUUUUCUAGUGGUUGGGGAUGAGCUCGCGGCCUAUCAGCUUGUUGGUGGGGUAAUGGCCUACCAAGGCGGCGACGGGUAGCCGGCCUGAGAGGGUGGACGGCCGCAUUGGGACUGAGAUACGGCCCAGACUCCUACGGGAGGCAGCAGUGGGGAAUAUUGCACAAUGGGCGGAAGCCUGAUGCAGCGACGCCGCGUGGGGGAUGACGGCCUUCGGGUUGUAAACUCCUUUCGACCGCGAGGAAGCCACCUGGUUGGAAGGGUGGUGACGGUAGUGGUAGAAGAAGCACCGGCUAACUACGUG
rnacentral:rRNA from 1 species